AUGAACGCUGGCGGCGUGCCUAAUACCUGCAAGUCGCGCGAACGGACGAGAAGCUUGCUUCUCUGAUGUUAGCGGCGGACGGGUGAGUAACACGUGGAUAACCUACCUAUAAGACUGGGAUAACUUCGGGAAACCGGAGCUAAUACCGGAUAAUAUUUUGAACCGCAUGGUUCAAAAGUGAAAGACGGUCUUGCUGUCACUUAUAGAUGGAUCCGCGCUGCAUUAGCUAGUUGGUAAGGUAACGGCUUACCAAGGCAACGAUGCAUAGCCGACCUGAGAGGGUGAUCGGCCACACUGGAACUGAGACACGGUCCAGACUCCUACGGGAGGCAGCAGUAGGGAAUCUUCCGCAAUGGGCGAAAGCCUGACGGAGCAACGCCGCGUGAGUGAUGAAGGUCUUCGGAUCGUAAAACUCUGUUAUUAGGGAAGAACAUAUGUGUAAGUAACUGUGCACAUCUUGACGGUACCUAAUCAGAAAGCCACGGCUAACUACGU
rnacentral:rRNA from 1 species